rnacentral:lncRNA from 1 species
CGAGUUUCCAACAAUUUUGCACUCCCCCCCCAUUUCCAAGGUUUACCAUCACCCUUUCCAUAUUUGAAUCCCCUACAUAUGCUUCUCCGGUAUUGAGAACAGUAAACACUAAGGUCUCAAUCAUGAAUUCCUUCCUCAUUCUUCUAUUGGGGAAGGGGUAAGUAUGCCCCUUCUACAGGGAAUUCAGCUUCCCAAACAGUUCACACCCCAGUACAUGCAGAUACCCUAGGCUUGGCACUGGCUGCUGGCUCAUUGGGAGCCAUCUGAGAUUCAGCUCUGCCAACAUCUUACCAACAAUCCCCUCUCAGAAUUACAAUAUGUUUAUGGUCCACUUCACAAUUUCCCCACCUUCCAGGGAGAUCUAAAGAUUGUGAGCAAACCCCAGCUUCAGUGGGAGACUGAAAUUAAGCAUGUUUUUGUGGUUUCCUCUCCCCUUCGGUCUUAUUAAGAUCAGCUCAGAACUACCAGCAACACAGUUGCCUUGUGACCUCUUGUCUGGCUAGUCCCAACUACUCCCAUUAAAGUUCCAAGACUCAGGGCUGGUCUAUCCUGAACAGGUACGAUGGCAUAGCUACAUCUCUAAAGGGUGGGAAAAAUCCACACCCCGAGAAAUACAGUUAAACCAACCUGACCCCUGGCAUCAACAGUGCUACGUUGAUGGAAGAAUACUUCCACUGACCUAGCUACCAUCUCUUCGGACGGUCGAUUAACGACAGUGACAGGAGAACCCCUUCCAUUGCUGUUGUAAGUGUUUACAGUUACACUGUAUGUCUUGAAGCCCUCAGCAGGCCACUGCACAAGCAGCAGGAGGCUGCAUGAGAGGAGAGUUCAAAGAAAUAGGAGAUAAAAAAGGCUGCUUUCAUUUUUUUUUAGAAGAAUAAAGAGAUUUCACCAAAAAUGUGUUGAAAGAAGCAGAGGAUUUGCACCGAGCCAGAGCUAAUGCUGCAUGAAAUAGAACCAAAUAUGUGAAUGUGAAAAGGGAGAGGAAGAGGCCUAAUUCUGCCUUCAGAUGCCUGCAUGUGACUCUCCUUCAUGACUGCAAGCACCUCACAAACUCGGUGGGAGGAGAUCAAAGGUCACUACCACCUGAUGGCUACUUGUUGGCCUGUGUGAAAAUGAGCUCAGUGAUGUUUCUACUAACCAAAUACCUGCAACACAAAAAACAGUCACAAAUAGCCUCCUCGGUGGCCGUCUCAGCAUAAAAAAGUAUAAUCACCUUCCCACCACAGCAGUGGCCACUCCAGAUCAGGAUUGAAACUUCCAGUCAUAACCUAUAGUAUGUGUUCGGUGUAUCAGGGCACCUUACAUCAGCACUGAAUUCUCUCGUAAAUGAAUUGCAGCAUGACAUUCCCGUCUCAGACUGGGAGUCAUUCUUGCUUUCGGCAUCUAAUGUUUAUCAUUAUUUUCUUGCAGCCUUAAUCUUUU